rnacentral:rRNA from 1 species
CGUGUAGGCGGCUAGAUGUGUCUGAUGUGAAAUCCCUCGGCUCAACCGGGGAACUGCAUUGGAAACUAUCUGGCUUGAGUGUGAGAGAGGGUGGCAGAAUUCCUAAUGUAGAGGUGAAAUUCGUAGAUAUUAGGAGGAAUACCAGAGGCGAAGGCGGCCACCUGGCUCACUACUGACGCUGAGACGCGAAAGCGUGGGGAGCAAACAGGAUUAGAUACCCUGGUAGUCC